AAUGAACGCUGGCGGCAUGCCUAACACAUGCAAGUCGAACGAGACCUCCGGGUCUGGUGGCGCACGGGUGCGUAACGCGGGGGAAACUGCCCUUAGGCUUGGCCUAACGCCCCGGAAGGGGUGCUAAUACAGGAUAAUGUACUCGGACCGAAGAUUUAUCGCAUUUGGAUGGGCCCGAGUGGCCUUAGCUAGUUGGUAGGGUAAGAGCCUACCACGGCGACGAUCGAUAGCUGGUCAGUGAGGAUGAGCAGCCACACUGGGACUGAGACACGGCCCAGACUCCUACGGGAGGCGGCAGUGGGUAAUAUUGGACAACGGGGGGAAUGCUGAUCCCGCAAUGCCGGGUGAGUUAUGUAGGCCGUAGGGUUGUAAAGCUCUUUUACCCGGGAUGAUAAUGACAGUACCGGGAGAAGAAGCACCGGCUAACUCCGUG
rnacentral:rRNA from 1 species